rnacentral:lncRNA from 1 species
GUCAGACAGGCGGGAGAUUCCUCAGAGGAAGAAUCCAAAUGGAGCAGCUUUCCCACCUUUCAGCAAAACACCUCAGUACUGGCAAGAUUUGGAGCACUUUGUGGAAGCAAUAAUUGGCCUGGAAAUACACCUGGCAGGCUUCCCCAGGAAGGAGCAGGAGUUUCACUGCCUGAGGUCUUCCAUGAACUGCUAAAACCCAUGGAAGGUGGUAGCAGGACUGCCAUGUCCUUCCAGGAAUGCUCUCCAGCCUCCCUGGAGCUUCGUGGGAUCUGCUGGAAGCGAUUUACAAAGGUCCCAAAGUGUCCCUGGAAGGAAUGUCCUGGAGAAGGUUUGGAAAUCUGGUCAGUGCCUCAUGAUCUAAAUCCCAGCAUUGCUGUGUCAGCCAGCCAGGACAAACAUUGCACCAGGGAAAACAUUGGACUGUGUGCUCAAAGCUGUGGAAGGAGCUGGCAAAACCCAGACCUGCAGCUUCAGCCAAAGAGGGACCCAACCAAAUCCUGUUGUGGUCAUGCAUCCUAUCCCAGUGUCCUCUCUCCAGAAUCCUGGAAUUGUUCAGGUUGGAAAAGCCCUCUGAGAUCACUGAGUCCAGCCUGUCACCAGUGUCCACCUUGUCCCCAGCCCAGAGCCCUGAGUGCCACAUCCAGGCCCUCCAUGGACACCUCCAGGGGUGGGGACUCCAUCACCUCCUUGGGAAGCCCAUUCCAAUGCCUGACCACCUUUUCUUUCCAUGGGGAAAUUCCUCCUGGGGUGUGUGUGAACAUGUAG